CCCUGCCCUGCUCCCAGGGUGACCUUGGGGACCCAGGGAGCUCCUGCACUUCUUGGGGUGGUGGGAGGAGUGCCCAGCAGCUCCUGCCUGGUACCUUCUCUCUCCUCUGCCCUUCCUCUGAGCAUCUUCACUGGAAGCCCCUCAGCCACAACCAUCCUCCGGGUUUCUGACUCAAAGUUAGACUGUGGGCCUGAGCAGGGCAGGAACCACAAAGCCAGCUGUUUGGCCCAUACCCCUCAAAAGGAAACUUCAGAUUCCCUGCUCUGUGGUCUAAGAGGCCAGGCAGAGGCAGAGGUCUCGGGCAGCCACAGACCUGAGGCAAGCAGUGGCCUCUGGAUAGGCAACCAUCUAUCCUCAGCACGCUUAGGGCCACAGCUUCUCGGGCCACAGCUUCUCAGACAACACCUAGGAGAUGCCACCCUUGGACUGGGAAUGUGCAAAGUGCCUGGGAUGAGGGAGGAAAGAGCAGCUCACUGUGGCCUGGCUGUGAUUGCCCCACAAGGAUCCCAGCGGUGCCCACAGCAGCCCCUAGAAAGUUACUACUGUUGGCAUGCUACAGAGGAGGGAACUGAGGCAUGGAGCUGAGCAAGGACGGUGAGUUCUGAGACUGGGCACCCCAGGCCUUGGCUCCCUUGGCGAUCUCGACAGGCCCUGGCUGUGGUGAAGAUGAAAGGCAGAGGGAUAGAGAAGGUUCUGGAACAGCUGUCCUGAGACCGUCCAGGCCUAGCGAGAGCCAGGAGGUCUCGAUGUAAACAGUUUCUCGGUGAUUUCCAGUGUCAUAAGUUGCGACACAGUCUUGUAACUGUGCCCCCCUCCGCCCCACAGCUUUUCAUUUCUUGUCCUAGUGAGGACCUCAACAGUGGUGACAGUAGCAGCACCUGACUGGGCAUCUGGGCACCCAGUCCCGGUCUCAGCUUUGGCUUGGAAAGUCACCCUGAGCUGUUGUGGCCGGCCCCAGGGACCACCCUCACCCCAGUGUUACUCACCACGGCUCCCUCUCAGCUCCAGCCCCAGCCCUGCUGGCCAGCAAAGUUUCCUUCAGAUGAACAGACUAAGCAAGGGUCCAGGAGCUAGCCCAACUUGCCAGGAAGCAGCCUGGACUCGUCCAUCUGGGGAAUCCAGCUUCUGACAGCUGUGUGACAGAGCUGCUUGGGACCAGCCCUCCCAUGUCCCUUUGACGGGUGCCCACCAUACUCCCUCCCGUUCCCGAGCCUUCUCUCCUGAGCCCACCCAAUGGUUUCCUUACUUCCCUGGAAAUUGGAUGGCAGUUGGCCAAUGCAUGUGUAUGUGGUACAUGUGUGCAUGUUUGUGUGGGUGUUUGCACAUGUGUUCCAGGGUGCAUGUGCUACGUGUUUACACAGAGACUAGAGAUGUCUAGCUUGCUUUUCAGACAAGGGCUCUCACUGAACCCAAAACUCUCUGAUGAGCUCAGGGGACCUGCUUGACUGUCAUCUCCUCCUGAGCACCAGAACUUCUGACAAAUGCUGCUACUCCUGGCUUUUAUGUGGGUGCCGGGGAGCCAAACUCGGUCCUCCAUGGUUGAAGAGCAAACACUCUGAGCACUGAGCCAUCUCCCAGCCCUGCCUUUUGUGUGACCCGGUUUAAUUUCCGUCUUUGUCGCCGUGAUUCCCAUUUACAGAAACGUUGGCGGUGUGUGUGUGUGGCCUUGCUGUGUGAUUACCGGCCAGGGUCACUCACACAUACAAGCUGUUGCUGUGGCUUGUCUCUGAAGGGUCUCCGAUUCUGGGGUGGGUGAUAGCGGGAGACAGAACUGGAGGCCAUGGAGCGACCUUGGAGCCUCACCUCACCUCUGGGAGUCCUGGCUUCCUGAUUUCCGGCGUGGAGACAGGCUGAUGAGAGUUCAGUGGGAUUCACUCCUGAAGAGUGUCUCGCUGGCUGCCUGGUUUGUAAGGACUGUGCUGAUAUCACACAGUACCUGGGGACGGGGAAAGGGUCUGACUAAGGUGUUAGGCGUGUCAUUGAAGAACCCAGGGCGCAUGCGCAAACCAGGACAGCUAUGCCAUCACUGGCUGAGCAGCCUAUGAUGUAGGCCUCUUACAUGUCAUCCAUCGCUGACCAAGACCCUCAAUGUAGCGUGUAGCUGACCAACCAUGGCCCUGCUGCCAGGGACCAGCCCACCUGGGCUGGCUUUUGCAGGUUGCCCUUCAUGGCAAGUGUAUGACCAGCAGGUAGGGCUGUCGGAGGUAGGCUGUUUGGAUCUGGCUUCCGGGAUUCUGGGCAGGGGCAGGACGGGGGCUUUGGCCGUGCUGGCCACUGUAGUCUUGCUUGGGAAGAAUGGGUUAGAAAGACGUCAGUCUCGAAAGUAGUCUCGUUUACCUCCUACCAAGGUCCUUAUCCUUAGGCUUUUCAAGAAGAGGUGGCGCGGUGCUGGUGUGGUGCUGGUGUGGUACUGGUGUGGUGCUAGUGUGGUGCUGGCGUGGUGCUGGCAGGGUGGUGGUGUGGUGCUGGUGUGGUGGUAGUGUGGUAGUGGUGAUGAUGUAAUAGUGAUGUGGUGGUGGGUGGUGAUGGUGUGAUGAUGGUGGUGUGGUGUAGUGGUAUGGUGGCGGUGGUGGUAUGGUAGUGUUGUGAUGAUGGUGGUAAGGUGCUGCUGUAGUGGUGGUAUGAUGGUGGUGGUGGUGUGUGUUUUGAGACAGGGUUUCACCUUGUAGCCCAGGCUGGACUUGAACCCAUCACCCCCACCUGUUGUCAUCCCCAGUAUCUAACAGACAUGUGCCACUAAACCUGACUCAAAAAAGUCUUUUUCAGUGACCUUUCUGAACCACACCCAGUGUCUGAAUACUUGCUUAAUGCCCAGAGGUGUUCCUGGCCCAGAAAAGGUCAGACAGGGUGGCCCACAUUGUGAGCAUGUGUGGGUCUUCUCAGUUAUUUCUCUGUUGUCGUGAUAAAAUACCCUGACAGAAGCCCCUAAGAAAGGGAGGGUUUUCUUUGCCCGACACACAGCAUCUAAGAACAUCAAGACAGCAGCAGCCGGCCACAUCAGAUCCAGUCAGGAAGCAGAGAGCCAUGAAUGUGUAGUGGACCUAGUUCCUUUUCUCCAUUUCAGCCCAAGAUCCCAACCAAGGAAUGGAGCUACCCAGAGUGGGUGGGUCUUCCCACUCCAUCCCCUGGAAGUAAGCCUGUCCCCUAGAUUCUGUCAGGUUGACAAUUCGUGCUAACCAUCCCGGAAGCCAAAGCCCCUACCUGCCCAGUUUGGCCUCACAGUGUCCUGGGGAGUGUGGGGAUGGAGGCGCCUGUCCCAGGCUGGAGGGGACUAGCACUGUCACACUAAAGGUCCCUGGUGUGAGGUGCUGGGGCUGCUGGGCCUUAAGUCCUGUCCUGGUUCAUAGUAGAGCUGUGAGCUUGGCAGGGAAGGCAGCCCUGGAGUGUGGGUCCCAGCAGCUGGCACUAGGCAAAGUUUGGGGUACAAAGUAGGCAUGCCUCUGCCCUAGAAGAGGUACUUCCUGGGAGCAGAGACUCACCAAGAAGGGGACCUCUGAAGACAGUGGGGUUGAGAGGGACAGAAUACGGCACACAGUGAGAUGUCACCAAGGUCUGCUCCUGGACCUGCUUGCCAGCACUCCCCUAGCUGGAGAGAUGGCUCAGUGCCUGAGAGACUUCUUACUUUCAGGAUUCUGACUCAGUUCCCAGCACCCACAGCAGGCCGCUCAACCACCUGUAACUGAGAGAGGAUCUGACACUCUGUCUCCCGCAGGCACCUGCAUGCACGUGGGGCACACACACUCACGUGACCUCACACAUAUGCACAAAAAAUAAAAAACAAGUGUGGACAGGGUGUGGUGGCACAUGCCUAUAAUCCCAACACUCAGGAGGCAGAGGCAGGCAGACCUCUGAGUUCAAGGCCAGCCUGGACUAUAUAGCAAGUUUCAGGACAGCCAGGGCCACAUAGUGAGACCUUUUCAAAAAAAAAGUCCCUCUGGUGCACCAACAUUCCUUAGGUCCUUUGUUACAGCAGAUGGACUGUCUGUCAUUUGUUCCCAAAGUGGAUGUGUGUGUGUGUGUGUGUGUGUGUGUGUGUGUGUGUGUUGUUAGUGCAUGUGUAUACAUGUGUGUGUGCACCUGUGUAUACAUACAUAAGGAGGUUAAAGGUCAACACUGGGUAUCUUCCUCAACCAGUCUUUACCUCCAGUGUGUGGUGUCUGUGUGUGUGUGUGUGUGUGUGUGUGUGUGUGUGUGUGUGUGUGUGUGUGUUUUGUGUUUAGCCCUGACACUGGCCUGGAACUCACAGAGAUCCACCUGCUUCUGCCUCCAGACAACUGGGAUUCAAGGCAUGUUCCACAUGCCCAGCCUCUACCCUACUUUGUGAGACAGGGCCUCUCACUGAACCUGGAGCCACCAACUGGCCAGACUGACUGGCCAGGCAACUCUAGGUAUCCUCCUGCCUCAGCCUUCCCAGAGCUGAGAUCAUAGAUGUAUACACUGCCAUGCCUGGAUUUUGUUUGUUUGUUUUGUUUUUUGAGACGGGGUUUCUCUGUGUAGCCCUGGCUGUCCUGGAACUCACUCUGUAGCCCAGGCUGGCCUUGAACUCACAGAGAUCCUCCUGCCUCUGCCUCCCGAGUACUGGGAUUAAAGGCGUGCGCCACCACUGCCCGGCUCGGAUUUUUUUUUUUUUUUUAAGUGUGGUUCCAAGGGAUUCCACUCAAUUCUUCUUCAUGCUUAUCUGACAAGCACUUGACUGAACCUCUCACCAGCCAGUAAUCUUUUAGAAUUACAUUUCCUCAUUUAUUUACAUGUGUAGUAUGUGUAUGGGCAGGCCCAUGUCACAGCAAGCAUGUGGAGAUCAUGGAACAACUUGCUGGAGUCAGUUCUCUCCUUCCACCAUGUGGGUUCCAGGGAUUGAACUCGGGUCCUCAGGCUUGGCAGCAAGGUCCUUUACCCACUGAGUCACCUUGCCUGCCCCUGAGAAUCAUUUUUUUUUUUUAAUGUGCAUUGAUGUUUUGCAAUGGGUGCUGGGUUGGGUCCCCUGGAACUGGAGUUACAGACAGUUAUGAGAGCUGCCUGUGGGUACUGAGAAUUGAACCCAGGUCCUCUGGAAGAGCAGCCAGUACUCUUAACCACUGAGCCAUCUCUCCAGCCCUGAGAAUCAUUUUAAAGAAGCUAUUGUGCCCUUCUUCGUAGUGGCUUCCAGAGUGCUCAGAGGUGACUUUCUGUUUGGGAUGGAGAAGACAUACCCUCAGGAUCGUGGACUCUGGGGACCUCGGUCCCAGGUGGAGGAGAGGGCAGUUGCCAGUCAGUGGCAGAUACUCCAAGUCCAUCAUCCCUCUGAGUCCACUAUGGCCUCUGAACUUUCCUGGCAGGUGCAUCCAAGGCUUGGAACCCCCUGUGUUGUGAGUUUCAGAAGAUCAGGAAUUCAGCUGCAGCCUCACUGGCUGUCCCCAGCCUGAGGACACUGUGGCUGCAGCUGUCUGAAGGGUAUGUGCUUCCUACAGACUUGUCUCGUGAACCACGGGGCUGCUUGAGUUUCCUUCCAAGAUGGCAGCUGGCUUCCACCAGAUUGGGCAAUGUAAAAGAGUCUUUAUGACCAUGCCUUGGACAGCACGUUAGCCACCAGCCCUGUUCACUGUGGAAGGAGACAAUACAGCCUGUAAAUGCCUGAAGGCAGGAAUCAUUUGGAGACCAUCUUGGAGGUUGGUGACCAUGGCAACCAUCACGUCAACACAAAGAGAGGUAUCUUUCCUGGAGCACAUUGUUGGUUUCCUACCAUUUAGUGGACAUGACGGCUUGGGUAUUAACCAGGGAUGUGAAGGAAAUGGAAGAAACGGGAACUUAUCAGCCACACUGAGCUCCGGGGACGACAGCUGUACUCGGUCAGGUCAUGAGUGCCAUGACACCAGGCAACCCUCACCCCGGGCAGCCUGUUCCACCCACGUUCCCAGGUGGCUCCUGCUUCCUCUGGUUCAGACUUGCUGAGGGAAAGCCUGAGCUACAGAGAUGGGGAUGAGAGCUGAGCCAAAGCCGUGGCUCACAAGGAGGUUGAGACCCUGUGACCCACAGGCCUCACAGAGGAAGACUUGUGUUGAGGGGCUGGGGAAUUCUGUGCUGGAAGCCUCUCGCAGCCACUCAGGUACUCCUGUGCCUGCCUUUCAGCCACAGCUAGCUGGAGCAUCCCCUGGGUGACCUGGACCCCCAGGGCCCUGCCCAGGCUUGGGGAGGACUCUUGACUUACCUGCGGGUUCUGUGGGUGUCAUCCUUCGCCCCAGACCCACAAAAUCACAAAUCCCAUCCAGUGUUUGGGCCCACAGUUCCUGCGGCUGCGGCUAGUCCUUGCAAGCCUGUGGCUCACCACAUAAUUUCACCAAGAGCCAUCGUGAGUGGGUAUAGACAUGGCCUUGCUCUCAAGUUCAAGAUCAGCCUUAGCUGUGUAGAAAGAGUUCAAGACUAGCCUGGACCACACCAGACCUGUCUCAAAACAAACAAAAACAAGCCGCGAGGUCAGCAAGAUGUCUCAGAGGACAAAAGCAUUUGCCUAGCAAACCUGACAACCGAGUUUGAUCCCUGGAACCUACGAAAAGGUGGAAGGACAGAAAUAAAUUCACAAAGUUGUCCUCUGACCUCCACACACACACGGUGGCAAGUGUUCAUAUACCCACUACACACACAAACACAAAACCACUACAUUUUAAAAAGUUAAACCAGCCAGGAGGUACCACUUCCCACGUGUCAGGACAGCCACAGUCAAGAGAAAGAGAAUAACAAGUGUUGGCGAGGAUGUGAAGAGGGUGCUUUGAAACAGUCACUAUGGAAACAAGAUGAAGCACUGACCCGAUGGUGCAGUUACUAUGGAAACGGGAUACUGGUUCCCCCAAAAGAAAUAAAAGAAAAGAACUACUGUAUGCUUGA